AACGAACGCUGGCGGCAGGCUUAACACAUGCAAGUCGAGCGCCCCGCAAGGGGAGCGGCCGACGGGUGAGUAACGCGUGGGAACGUACCUUUUGGUUCGGAACAACUCCGGGAAACUGGAGCUAAUACCGGAUAAGCCCUAACGGGGAAAGAUUUAUCGGCGAAAGAUCGGCCCGCGUCUGAUUAGCUAGUUGGUGAGGUAACGGCUCACCAAGGCGACGAUCAGUAGCUGGUCUGAGAGGAUGAUCAGCCACACUGGGACUGAGACACGGCCCAGACUCCUACGGGAGGCAGCAGUGGGGAAUAUUGGACAAUGGGCGCAAGCCUGAUCCAGCCAUGCCGCGUGAGUGAUGAAGGCCUUAGGGUUGUAAAGCUCUUUUGUCCGGGAAGAUAAUGACUGUACCGGAAGAAUAAGCCCCGGCUAACUUCGUG
rnacentral:rRNA from 1 species